rnacentral:rRNA from 1 species
GUUGUAUGGUUAAGUGACUAAGCGUACACGGUGGAUGCCUUGGCAGUCAGAGGCGAUGAAAGACGUAGUAACUUGCGAUAAGCCCAGAUUAGGUAGUAACAACCAUUUGAGUCUGGGAUUUCUGAAUGGGGAAACCCACUUACAUAAGUAAGUAUCAUUAACUGAAUACAUAGGUUAAUGAGGCGAACCGGGGGAACUGAAACAUCUAAGUACCCCGAGGAAAAGAAAUCAACCGAGAUUCCGAAAGUAGCGGCGAGCGAAAUUGGACUAGCCCUUAAGCUUUACACGCGUUAGACG